rnacentral:rRNA from 1 species
CUGCGUGAAGCUGGAAUCGCUAGUAAUCGCGGAUCAGCAUGCCGCGGUGAAUACGUUCCCGGGCCUUGUACACACCGCCCGUCACACCACGAGAGUUUGUAACACCCGAAGUCGGUGAGGUAACCUUUAUGGAGCCAGCCGCCGAAGGUGGGACAGAUGAUUGGGGUGAAGUCGUAACAAGGUAGCCGUAUCGGAAGGUGCGGCUGGAUCACCUCCUUUCUAAGGA